rnacentral:rRNA from 1 species
AACGAACGCUGGCGGCAUGCCUAACACAUGCAAGUCGAACGAGACCUUCGGGUCUAGUGGCGCACGGGUGCGUAACGCGUGGGAACCUGCCUUUAGGUUCGGAAUAACUCAGAGAAAUUUGAGCUAAUACCGGAUAAUGUCUUCGGACCAAAGAUUUAUCGCCUUUAGAUGGGCCCGCGUUGGAUUAGCUAGUUGGUGGGGUAAAGGCCUACCAAGGCGACGAUCGGUAACUGGUCUGAGAGGAUGAUCAGUCACACUGGAACUGAGACACGGUCCAGACUCCUACGGGAGGCAGCAGUGGGGAAUAUUGGACAAUGGGGGCAACCCCGUGAGUCCAAGCCGAUGCCGCGUGUGUG